rnacentral:misc_RNA from 1 species
GAAAAAAAAUUCCAUUAGCUCACUGAAAAGCAUUAUUAGUUCGCAUUUGAUGAACUCCAUGCAAGAUUUUAAUCAAGAUUCUCACAGGCGAUCAACAAGUGAAACAUCUUCAAUCAAGUGUCUUCACCCAUGCUCCCAAAAAUAUUAUUUAUAGGAUGAAUAUAGGGUGAACAGAGAAGUUCUGUGAUGCAGAAUAAGACACAAGCUUUUUGAUGUCAACUGUUAAGAUCCCACGUUGGCUUGGGAUAGGAGUAAUGUGCCCCUUAUAUAGCUUUGGACAUUCCUCCUCCCUUGAACUAGCUUUUGAGAGUGAGUUAGGCUCGGCCCAUUUUCUUAAGAUGAUA